rnacentral:tRNA from 1 species
UUAAUUGAAGCCAAAAAGAGGCAUAUUACUGUUAAUAAUAUAAAUGAAUAAUUAUUCCAAUUAAA